rnacentral:rRNA from 1 species
AACGACUCUCGACAACGGAUAUCUCGGCUCUCGCAUCGAUGAAGAACGUAGCGAAAUGCGAUACUUGGUGUGAAUUGCAGAAUCCCGUGAACCAUCGAGUUUUUGAACGCAAGUUGCGCCCCAAGCCUUCGGGCUGAGGGCACGCCUGCCUGGGCGUCACGC